rnacentral:rRNA from 1 species
GACGAACGCUGGCGGCGUGCUUAACACAUGCAAGUCGAACGGAAAGUCCCUGCUUUGGGGGGGUGCGCGAGUUGCGAACGGGUGAGUAGCACUUAAGUUACCUGCCCUUGACUUUGGGAUAACUUCAGGAAACUGGGGGUAAUACCGGAUAGGAGCUCCUGCUGCAUGGUGGGGGUGGGAAAGUUUCGGCGGUUGGGGUUGGACUCGCGGCUUAUCAGCUUGAUGGUGGGGUAGUGGCUUACCAAGGCUUUGACGCGUAGCCUGGCGGAGAGGGUGACCGGCCCAAUUGCACUUGGACUGCGACACAGACUCCUACGGGAGGCAGCACUGGGGUAUAUUGCACAAUGGAGUGAGCCCUAAUGCAGCACCGCCGUGUGCGGGAUGAAGGCCAUCGCUUUGUAUUCCGCUUCCCCCUGUCACGAAGCGUGAGUGACGGUAAUGGGUAAAUAAGCACCGGCUAACUCCGUG